CUGGCGGCGGGGCGCCGUGACGCAGGCUUGACUCACGCGCGGGCCCGCGUCAGUGCGAGGCUCUGGGGCCGCAAGCGAGGCUCUGAUGGCCGACGAUGCAGGCUGAGGGGGUGGGCCAGGAGAGGGAGAGGGGCUAACCUGGGACCAGCCUCUUGUGGCGCCAGCCCAAGGGACCCAGACCCUAGGACAGCAUUACCAGGGCUUCUGUCCUCAGAGAGGAAUGGGGCCCCGAUGGCCAAGGGCCUGCGGAGUCCUGGGCCUUAUUUCUUCACCUUUUAAGGAGCAGCUCUUUGGCCUUCCUUUGUGAACUCAGCUCCAGCCAAAGCCCUGAGGACACAGCAGAGAACAGGACAGGCGAUGAUCCCUAUCCUCGUGGAGCUGACAUGCAAGGAGACUCAACCAAUAACACAGAGUGGGGUGAAGAGGCACGGCAGGAAGUAGCAAGUGAUCCAGGAGACGUGCCAGAGGAUGCUUGCUCUUAGAACCUGACUACCAUUCUGUGGAGCCUAGAGAGAAGCCGAUGAGGAGAAGAGGUCUCCAGCCUCCAGCGAGGGCUGAGUUCCUGACCUCGCCAGCCACAGGAGUGCAUCAUCUUGGAAGCAGCUCCUCCAACCCACUCAGUCCCCGCAUGUGGACAGUGCAUGGAGCCACCCACUGAGUCCUUCCCAAAUGCCUGAUGCCCAGAAACCAUGAAAUAGAGAAAGAUAAUGAUCACCUUAAUUUUAUGCUUUAAUUAUUUAAUUAAUGCUUUAAAAAAUUAAUGCUUUAAUCAAACUGUGUAUUAGGAUGCUUCAUUACACAGCAAU